UUCUUCUUUUUCUGUACGCAACUGUCUCAAUUCCGUCGCUAAGCCAACCGCUAAAUCUUUCUGCAUAUCCUUCAAUUUUACAACUUGCUCACGUUCCCGAGGGCCCUCAAUGACGCAAAAAGCCACUGCACCAGCAAUUGCCCAAAUGAUUUACAACCAACUCCUCAAGCGAGUCUCACACGUUCUGGUACACCCUGUAUACUAUGUGAAAUAUUUGAAAAUCUCAUUAGCACUGUAGCGAGACUCGACCUCGAUUAUUACUCCUACCUCGAGUCUGAAAAUUGGAUCUGAAAAUGUAAUAGAGGUUACAAGAUAUUUAUUGGAAGCAUACGUUUCGCAAAGAUCAACAAAGUAUUUCAACAGUCAAUUGUGCGUUAUAUUCAUAGAAUACGAAGCUCUUCAGACAAGUGAAUUCAACCAGUAAGAGUUCAGUUAAUCGACUAAAUUACUAACUUAACUAAAGUUUCGUUCCAAUAGUUGGAUUUCAGGUAAGUAGAGUUCUACUGUAACUGAAUGUUUAAGACUACUAGUCGUGCUGUAUACUAAUUUCGCUCUAAAUGUAUGUUUGGUGAUAAAUGUCUUGUAACUUCUAUAUCCAUUUUCGGAUUGAUUUCAAAUUUUAGUAUUAUAAGCUUAGUUUUGUGGGGACAAAAACAAUAUUCAUAAAAAUAUUGUGUGGUAAGUGUUCGAAUACUUUCAUGAGCCACUAUAUGUAUACUUUAUGGAAAGUAUCUUCGAUACACUAUUUUUUAAUAGCAAUCAUAAAUUAUGAGCGAAAGAAGAGAUAUCAAUGUAU